rnacentral:rRNA from 1 species
UGCGUAGGCGGUCCAUCAAGCCUGAGGUGAAAGGCAACGGCUCAACCGUUGUAAGCCUUGGGAACUGUUGGACUUGAGUACAGGAGAGGAAAGUGGAAUUCCUAGUGUAGCGGUGAAAUGCGUAGAUAUUAGGAGGAACACCAGUGGCGAAGGCGACUUUCUGGACUGUAACUGACGCUGAGGCACGAAAGCGUGGGGAGUGAACA